rnacentral:ncRNA from 1 species
AUAAAGUUUAAUUUUAGUUUAAUAAUUUAUUUAAUUUUUUUUUUACAUGUAAAUUUUAGUGGGAAUAUAAUAAUAAUUUUAAUAAUUAUUAUUAAAGAUUUUAUUCGCAGUAUGAAAUUUUAUAAAUUUAAGAAAUUAAGAAUUAUAAAUAAAUUUUAAUAUUAACAAAAUUUGUGCCAGCAGUUGCGGUUAUACAAAAAAUAUAAAUAAAUUUUAUUAGUAAAUAAUAAAAUGAAUUUAAUUUAAUAAAAAUAAAAUUUAUAAAGUGAAAUUUAAAAUUUUAAAUAAUUAUAAUUAAAAUUAUUGAUAUUAUGAAAUUUAUAGUUUAAACUAGGAUUAGAUACCCUAUUAUUAUAAAUGUUAAUUUUUACUAAAGUAGUAUUAGUUAUGAUCUUGAAAUUUAAAAAUUUUGGCGGUAUUUUAGUCUAUUCAGAGGAACCUGUUCUAUAAUUGAUAGUCCACGAUAAAUUAUACUUUAUUUUUAAUAGUUUAUAUAUCGUCGUUAUAAAAUAUUUUAUUAGAAUUAUAAUAUUUAAGAUUUUUAAUUAAAAAAUAUAUCAGAUCAAGGUGUAGUUUAUAAUAAAGAAGAAAUGGGUUACAAUAAAUAUAUUUAUGGAUUUUUAUAUAAAAAUAUGGAAUGAAAUUGGAUUUGAUAGUAAUAAAUUUUAUAUUUAAUUUAUGAUUUAAGCUCUAAAAUGUGUACAUAUCGCCCGUCACUCUUAUUAUAAGAUAAGAUAAGUCGUAACAUAGUAGAUGUACUGGAAAGUGUAUCUAGAAUGA